rnacentral:lncRNA from 1 species
CUCCCAUUGAGAGAGAGAGCACAAACUUGUUCUUGUAUAUCAAGUGGAAAACCAAUCUUCACAUUUGUCUUGGAUAUCAAGUGAAAGCCAAAACUUCAAGACAAUCUUCAAGAAGGAUCAAGGAGCUUCCAAAGGCAAACUUUGAACAAUCUCAAGAAGGAUUAAGGAGCUUCCACUUAUGGAUUCAGGUACGCUUCCGCUUAUGUUG